AGGAUAAUAGUUAAUAAUAACAUUUAAUUUGCAUUUAAAAAGUACUAAAUUUAGCCUUAGUUUAUCUU
rnacentral:tRNA from 1 species